rnacentral:rRNA from 1 species
CGCGUAGGCGGAUGUUUAAGUCAGAGGUGAAAGCCCAGGGCUCAACCUUGGAACUGCCUUUGAUACUGGACAUCUUGAGUACGGGAGAGGUGAGUGGAACUCCGAGUGUAGAGGUGAAAUUCGUAGAUAUUCGGGAGAACACCAGUGGCGAAGGCGACUCACUGGCCCGUUACUGACGCUGAGGCGCGAAAGCGUGGGGAGCAAACAGGAUUAGAUACCCUGGUAGUCCACGCUGUAAACGAUGAGUGCUAGUUGUCGGCAUGCAUGCAUGUCGGUGACGCAGCUAACGCAUUAAGCACUCCGCCUGGGGAGUACGGUCGCAAGAUUAAA